AGUCUACAACCUUGAUAGAAAUGUCUGGGUAAUCUUUUGAAUGCGCAUCGUGCUAGGGAUAGAUUAUUGCAAUUAUUAAUCUUGAACGAGGAAUUCCUAGUAAACGCAAGUCAUCAGCUUGCAUUGAUUACGUCCCUGCCCUU
rnacentral:rRNA from 1 species